UACAGAGGGGGCAAGCGUUAUUCGGAAUUAUUGGGCGUAAAGGGCGCGUAGGCGGCCUGGCAAGUGGGAGGUGAAAUCCCUCGGCUCAACCGAGGAACUGCCUCUCAAACUGCCUGGCUUGAGUCCGGGAGAGGUGAGUGGAAUUCCCAGUGUAGCGGUGAAAUGCGUAGAUAUUGGGAGGAACACCAGUGGCGAAGGCGGCUCACUGGACCGGAACUGACGCUGAGGCGCGAAAGCGUGGGGAGCAAACGGG
rnacentral:misc_RNA from 1 species